rnacentral:rRNA from 1 species
GGAUUAGAUACCCUGGUAGUCCACGCUGUAAACGAUGAUCACUAUAUAUUGGCGAUAAACUGUCAGUGUUAAAGCGAAAGUGUUAAGUGAUCCACCUGGGGAGUACGAUCGCAAGGUUGAAACUCAAAGGAAUUGACGGGGGCCCGCACAAGCGGUGGAGCAUGUGGUUUAAUUCGAUGAUACGCGAGGAACCUUACCAAGGCUUAAAUGUAUGUUGACAGGACUGGAAACAGUUUUUUCUUCGGACAAUAUACAAGGUGCUGCAUGGCUGUCGUCAGCUCGUGCCG